CAGCCGCCACGGUAAUACGUAGGGCGCAAGCGUUAUCCGGAAUUAUUGGGCGUAAAGAGCUCGUAGGCGGUUUGUCGCGUCUGCCGUGAAAGUCCGGGGCUCAACCCCGGAUCUGCGGUGGGUACGGGCAGACUAGAGUGAUGUAGGGGAGACUGGAAUUCCUGGUGUAGCGGUGAAAUGCGCAGAUAUCAGGAGGAACACCGAUGGCGAAGGCAGGUCUCUGGGCAUUAACUGACGCUGAGGAGCGAAAGCAUGGGGAGCGAACAGGAUUAGAUACCCCGGUAGUCCCUGUCUCUUAUAU
rnacentral:rRNA from 1 species